rnacentral:tRNA from 1 species
GAAAAGUGGCCGAGCCAAUAUGUGGCUUCUAACCACGUAAAAAGAGGUUUGACUCCUUUUACCUUUCU